rnacentral:rRNA from 1 species
CAGUAGCCUCGGUAAUACAGAGGGUGCGAGCGUUAAUCGGAUUUACUGGGCGUAAAGCGUGCGUAGGCGGCUUUUUAAGUCGGAUGUGAAAUCCCUGAGCUUAACUUAGGAAUUGCAUUCGAUACUGGGAAGCUAGAGUAUGGGAGAGGAUGGUAGAAUUCCAGGUGUAGCGGUGAAAUGCGUAGAGAUCUGGAGGAAUACCGAUGGCGAAGGCAGCCAUCUGGCCUAAUACUGACGCUGAGGUACGAAAGCAUGGGGAGCAAACAGGAUUAGAUACCCCAGUAGUCCCUGUCUCUUAUAC